GGCACAGGGGGUCUUCUCUCUUGGCUUUGGAGCUCCCCAUUCCUCUGUGUCUGUAACAGGGGAGCUUCUUCCUUCUUUCUUCUCCCUUCUUUCUUGCCUGUUAAACUCUCUGCUUCUUAAAACCACUCCAUGUAUGUCCAGGUCAUUUUAUCUAAUUUGGAGACGGAGAACCCUGGUGUUCCUCUGCUCAUCAGAGCCGUCUCACCUGCAAGGGCCAGGAUCCAGCACUAGGGCUGCCCUUUAUGUUCAUGCAGCCUCCACUAGGAAGAUCCUCCUUAGCUGCCACCUGCUGUAAAGGGAUCUAUCUAUCUAUCUGUCUAUCUAUCUAUCUAUCUAUCUUUCUAUCUACCUGUCGAGAGAGAGAGAGGUUUAUUAUAAGGAAUUGACUCAUGUGAUUAUGGAGGCUGAGAAGUUCCACAGUCUGCUGUCUGCAAGCUGGAGACCCAGGAAGGCUGCUGGUGCCGUUCCAGUUUGAUUCUGAAGGCCUGAGAACCAGAACUGAUGCCCACUCAACAUGAAGAUGACAAGGAUGAAGACCUUUAUGAUGAUCCAUUCCCACUUACUGAAUAAACUUCACCAGGACCCAGGAAAUAAGAUUUGAUUGCUGCACACUUAGAAACAAUGGCAAUCAAGGGAAAUGCCCCAUCUUACAUGGAGCUCUUCUAGUGGAAACACCAUGGUUGCCACCACGUACUGCUCCGUACCUAAGUUUCUAGGAACCAGACUCUGGAAACUCUUCUAGAACUGCCCCAGGAGAACCAACGUGUCUGUUGCUUGCAAAGACCUCCAGUGUCCCUGAGCCUGGCCACUGCCUCCCAUUGCUCAAACCCUCCUAGUCUCGUAUGUGGACAUCUGCUUGGAAGAAUCUCAUCCACGUACAAAAUCCUGGCUCUGGAUGAAGCUUCUUGGUGAUGUAACAGUCUGUGGAAACUCCCACAGGACAAAUGCAGAAAGGAAGGACCUAGAUCACUGGAUGGUCAACGUUGCCCCUUGCACAGCAGCAAAGGCCUAUACAAAUUUUUUGAGUAGCUUUAUCUAGUGGUUCAGCUACUGGGAAUAACUUGUAAAAUCCCCUGGAUAGUCAACAGCAUUGGGGCUUGCUUUGUAAACAGAGACCUGACCUACUUAAUUCUUCCCAGAGGUUGGAAAAAGAGGCUGGACUCACACAGACAUGAAACCUUGGCUUAAUUGGACACUAAUUACUCAUAAGAGAUCUGUUUACCCGAACUUCCCCUAGACCAAGCUCAGUAUAAAAUGAGAGGAUGCAUAAAGAAGCAAGAUAUUUAGAGGAAAAUGUCACAAAUACAUUUAUCAGUCCCAAAAGUCCUUUUUUUUCCCCAGAAGUGAUGUUGCUAAUUGCACAAAAAUAAACAAUACAGGGGUUGAUAAAUUCCACAUUUAAGGGCUGAGGAUAGUGUCCCUACAUUUCUAAGAAGCUGUAUAUUUGGAAAUGAAUACAAUUGAAAGUAAGGAUAAGUGGCAUUCUAAAGCCAAUUGGAUAACUUGAAUGAACAAGCAGAAUUUACCAUAUUUUGAUAUGUUUCUUUUUGAUUAAAGUAUCUGUAAAGGAAACAAAUUAUAGUAUUGCUAUAGAUUUUAUUACUGAACAAGAAAAAAAGGCUUGAUGUUGUGCAUUUCCUUUUGGCCUUUGGUCUUGGCUGAUAUUGGGCAUCCAAUGAGCUUCUUUGUCUUGAAUGAAGACUUAAGAGGGAGUGAAAAGUAGGAAGAGCAUCAAAACUUCUUUGCAGGAUGUAAUCAAACCACCUACUACUUAUUGUCUUACGAUCCAUUUAUUCAACAAAUGGAACAUCUCAAUUGCUUGAUGCUAUUACAGACACUAGGUAUAGUCUUAGAAAAACAAAUUGCUGUUUUUAUAUAGCUUGUGUUAUGGGUUGAUGUAGUACAGUCAAAAUUAUUUAAAUAAAGGAAGAUGUGAGGAAGACUUUGAACUUAGAAAUCUGGGUUCUCAUCCAAGCUUUGCUGCUAGCUUGUUGGGGGAACCUUGGGUGAUGAGUUGGUUGACUCCUUCCAGAUCUCAGCGUUCAUCCAUCAAGUGAGGGAACUUGACCAGAUAUUCAAUAAUGGCCCUUCCAGCCCCAUCUCUAUAUGAAAGGGAAACCACAGUAUGGGCCCAUGGGGAAGAUCAUGGACUUUGGAGUAAAAC
ensembl:lncRNA ETS2-AS1 ETS2 antisense RNA 1